GUGCCAGCAGCCGCGGUAAUACGUAGGGUGCAAGCGUUAAUCGGAAUUACUGGGCGUAAAGCGUGCGCAGGCGGUUCGGAAAGAAGGAUGUGAAAUCCCAGGGCUUAACCUUGGAACUGCAUUCUUAACUACCGGGCUAGAGUGUGUCAGAGGGAGGUGGAAUUCCGCGUGUAGCAGUGAAAUGCGUAGAUAUGCGGAGGAACACCGAUGGCGAAGGCAGCCUCCUGGGACAACACUGACGCUCAUGCACGAAAGCGUGGGGAGCAAACAGGAUUAGAUACCCUGGUAGUCCACGCCCUAAACGAUGUCAACUAGCUGUUGGGGCCUUCGGGCUUUAGUAGCGCAGCUAACGCGUGAAGUUGACCGCCUGGGGAGUACGGUCGCAAGAUUAAAACUCAAAUGAAUUGACGG
rnacentral:rRNA from 1 species